AGGUCAGACUCUUCUCCACCUCUGUCUCUCCCUUCCUCCUCCUCUUUCUUCUUCUCUUUCUGUUCUCCGCUUUCUGUUAAAAGAGGGAGGAAUGGGAGAGAAAGAGUGGGUCAACAGAGAAGACAAAAGAGGAG
rnacentral:ribozyme from 13 species